rnacentral:rRNA from 1 species
CCUACGGGGGGCAGCAGUGGGGAAUAUUGGACAAUGGGGGCAACCCUGAUCCAGCCAUGCCGCGUGUGUGAAGAAGGCCCUCGGGUUGUAAAGCACUUUCAGUGAGGAAGAACGCCUGGUGGUUAAUACCCAUCAGGAAAGACAUCACUCACAGAAGAAGCACCGGCUAACUCCGUGCCAGCAGCCGCGGUAAUACGGAGGGUGCGAGCGUUAAUCGGAAUUACUGGGCGUAAAGCGCGCGUAGGUGGCUUGAUAAGCCGGUUGUGAAAGCCCCGGGCUCAACCUGGGAACGGCAUCCGGAACUGUCAAGCUAGAGUGCAGGAGAGGAAGGUAGAAUUCCCGGUGUAGCGGUGACAUGCGUAGAGAUCGGGAGGAAUACCAGUGGCGAAGGCGGCCUUCUGGACUGACACUGACACUGAGGUGCGAAAGCGUGGGUAGCAAACAGGAUUAGAUACCCGUGUAGUC